rnacentral:rRNA from 1 species
AGUGGGGGAUAACCUGGGGAAACCCAGGCUAAUACCGCAUACGUCCUACGGGAGAAAGGGGGCUCCGGCUCCCGCUAUCGGAUGAGCCUAUGUCGGAUUAGCUAGUUGGUGAGGUAAAGGCUCACCAAGGCGACGAUCCGUAGCUGGUCUGAGAGGAUGAUCAGCCACAUCGGGACUGAGACACGGCCCGAACUCCUACGGGAGGCAGCAGUGGGGAAUAUUGGACAAUGGGGGGAACCCUGAUCCAGCCAUGCCGCGUGUGUGAAGAAGGCCCUCGGGUUGUAAAGCACUUUCAGUGAGGAAGAACGCCUGGUGGUUAAUACCCAUCAGGAAAGACAUCACUCACAGAAGAAGCACCGGCUAACUCCGUGCCAGCAGCCGCGGUAAUACGGAGGGUGCGAGCGUUAAUCGGAAUUACUGGGCGUAAAGCGCGCGUAGGUGGCUUGAUAAGCCGGUUGUGAAAGCCCCGGGCUCAACCUGGGAACGGCAUCCGGAACUGUCAAGCUAGAGUGCAGGAGAGGA